rnacentral:rRNA from 1 species
GCUGGCGGCAGGCUUAACACAUGCAAGUCGAGCGGUAGCAGAUCUAGCUUGCUAGAUGCUGACGAGCGGCGGACGGGUGAGUAACGCGUAGGAACCUGCCCAGUAGUGGGGGAUAGCCCGGGGAAACUCGGAUUAAUACCGCAUACGCUCUACGGAGGAAAGAGGGGCUUCGGCUCUCGCUAUUGGAUGGGCCUGCGUGAGAUUAGCUAGUUGGUGAGGUAAUGGCUCACCAAGGCGGCGAUCUCUAGCUGGUCUGAGAGGAUGGUCAGCCACACUGGGACUGAGACACGGCCCAGACUCCUACGGGAGGCAGCAGUGGGGAAUAUUGCACAAUGGGCGCAAGCCUGAUGCAGCCAUGCCGCGUGUGUGAAGAAGGCUUUCGGGUUGUAAAGCACUUUCAGUGGGGAGGAAGGCCUCGUAGUUAAUAGCUGCGAGGAUUGACGUUACCCACAGAAGAAGCACCGGCUAACUCCGUG